rnacentral:rRNA from 1 species
UACGUAGGCAGCAAGCGUUGUUCGGAGUUACUGGGCGUAAAGGGUGCGUAGGUGGCUCUAUAAGUAUGGUGUGAAAUCUCCCGGCUUAACUGGGAGGGUGCGCCGUAGACUGUGGGGCUAGAGUGUGGGAGAGGAAAGUGGAAUUCCUGGUGUAGCGGUGAAAUGCGUAGAUAUCAGGAGGAACACCGGUGGUGUAAACGGCUUUCUGGACCA